rnacentral:lncRNA from 1 species
ACAAACGAGAUUUGCAUUUUUACCUCCAAUACAGAUUCUUGGCCAUCAGAUCAGUCCCAGUUCUGUAAAUCUCCAUGAUAUUCCAGGUGGGUUUGAUCUGCUCAGUGCCCUGCUCCCGGUCCCACCAGUCGGAGAGCCACCUGAGAUCCUGCUGCAGCCAAUCCAUGGACAUGUCCACUUUACUCUGGACGGUGGGCACCAGGGCCGGCUCCAGGACCCAGCGGGACGCCUGCGGGAGGUCCACCGGAGCCGCGGGACUGGCGAGCGGCAGAGCGCCCCCUGCGGCAUGCCGCCAUGCUUGGGGCGGCGAAAUGGCUAGAGCUGGCCCUGGGGGGCACCAGGUCUAUAGACACAGCUUGGCUGUCCACCUCUGCACUGAGCAGCACGGCUGGACUAAUUGGUGUAAUACCCACAUUGUUCUCCAGUCUAACGUUGCCUUGGAGAGGGCAAGACAGAGGAGUGGGAGUCAAAAGCCAACAGCUGACAGAGGUCAAAGCUUUGCAGAUCUGAGAUGAUGGAAGAGCAAAGGUCAAGGGAAUGAGGGCCAAGAUCCCAGGGCUCCUGGGUUCUCUCCCAGCUCUGGGAGGGGAGUGGGAUCUAAUGGCCUAGAGUGGGGGGUGGGCUGGGAAUCAAGACUCCUGGAUUCUCUCUCAGCUCUGGGAGGGGAGUGGGGUCUAGUGGCGAGAGCAGUGGGGGCUGCCAGCCAGCAUUCCUGGCUUCUAUUUCUGUGUCUCUGUGACAUUGUGUAACUAAUUUCAUUUCCAUGGGCACGUGGUGAGUUAGCGGAAGAACUGAGACUAGAAACCAGGAAUCCUGACUCCCUAACCCCCAAUUCUGGGAACUCCAUUGUGCAAGAGAGAUAAUGAAGGAACAGUGAAAAAUUUCUCACCACACAGCUCCACUGGUGCCCCUUAAUCCUCACCUCCAACCCUGGGCUUCUCCCUUUAUGCCCCCCAGCUCUGCCAAUGCCCUGACCCACAGACCCUGCUAUCACAGCUGUGGGCUUCCCCAACACACAGCUCUGCUUGUGCCCCUCAACCCCAACCAGCAGCCCCUACUGUCACAGCCAGGGGCUCUCCCACCCCCUACAGCUCUUGUCAAUCCCCUCAAACCCAACCCACAACCUCUUUUCAACGUAUUUACUAUUUUACCCUAAGCAACUUAACAGUUUUCCCUUCUAUAUUUCCCUCGUGCUUGUGCUUAUAACUCCUCCACUUAGAGAGUCCCUUAAUGUAUAUAAUUUUACUUACUAAUUCCAGUAGCAGGGUUUCUUUGCUCUAAAAAAAGAG